rnacentral:rRNA from 1 species
ACGAACGCUGGCGGCGUGCCUAAUACAUGCAAGUAGAACGCUGAAGGAGGAGCUUGCUUCUCUGGAUGCGUUGCGAACGGGUGAGUAACGCGUAGGUAACCUGCCUGGUAGCGGGGGAUAACUAUUGGAAACGAUAGCUAAUACCGCAUAAUAGUAGAUGUUGCAUGACAUUUGCCUAAAAGGUGCAAUUGCAUCACUACCAGAUGGACCUGUGUUGUAUUAGCUAGUUGGUGGGGUAACGGCUCACCAAGGCGACGAUACAUAGCCGACCUGAGAGGGUGAUCGGCCACACUGGGACUGAGACACGGCCCAGACUCCUACGGGAGGCAGCAGUAGGGAAUCUUCGGCAAUGGACGGAAGUCUGACCGAGCAACGCCGCGUGAGUGAAGAAGGGUUUCGGAUCGUAAAGCUCUGUUGUAAGAGAAGAACGAGUGUGAGAGUGGAAAGUUCACACUGUGACGGUAUCUUACCAGAAAGGGACGGCUAACUACGUG